UACCAGCACCCCCGAGUGGUCGGGACGAUUAUUGGGCCUAAAGCAUCCGUAGCCGGCCUUACAAGUCCUCCGUUAAAUCCAGCUGCUUAACAGAUGGGCUGCGGAGGAUACUAUAAGACUAGGAGGCAGGAGAGGCAAGCGGUACUCAGUGGGGUAGGGGUAAAAUCCGUUGAUCCAUUGAAGACCACCAGUGGCGAAGGCGGCUUGCCAGAAUGCGCUCGACGGUGAGGGAUGAAAGCUGGGGGAGCAACCGG
rnacentral:rRNA from 1 species